rnacentral:rRNA from 1 species
UGAAUACGAGACGCUACGGCGUCGAAGCAGUCUAUGUCAUACUUCCAAGAAAAGCUUGCACUGUCAUAAACAAAUAAUGCCUGUACCAUAACCGACACAGGUGGGUAGGUAGAGUAUACUAAGGGGCGCGAGAUAACUCUCUCUAAGGAACUCGGCAAAAUGACUCCGUAACUUCGGGAGAAGGAGUGCCUUAUUUAUAAGGUUGCAAUAACAAGAUCCAAGCAACUGUUUAUCAAAAACACAGGUCUCCGCUAAGUCGUAAGACGAUGUAUGGGGGCUGACGCCUGCCCAGUGCCAGAAGGUUAAAGAAGUUGGUUAGCAUUAGCGAAGCUGAUAACUGAAGCCCUGGUGAACGGCGGCCGUAACUAUAACGGUCCUAAGCUAGCGAAAUUCCUUGUCGGGUAAGUUCCGACCCGCACGAAAGGCGUAAUGAUUUGGAUACUGUCUCAGAGAGGGGCUCGGUGAAAUAGACUUGUCUGUGAAGAUGCGGACUACCUGCACCAGGACAGAAAGACCCUAUGAAGCUUUACUGUAACUUGAAAUUGAAAUUGGACUUUAUUUGCGCAGUAUAGGUGGGAGGCAUUGAUAAUAUUCUUGCGGGAAUGUUGGAGCCAUCAGUGAGAUACCACUCUUGUAAUGUUAGAUUUCUAACUUUGGAUCAUUAUCUGGUCAAAGGACAGUUUCAGGCGGGCAGUUUGACUGGGGCGGUCGCCUCCUAAAUGGUAACGGAGGCGCACAAAGGUUUCCUCUGAACGGGUAGAAAUCGUAUCUAGAGUGUAAAGGCAUAAGGAAGCUUGACUGUGAGACCUACAAGUCGAGCAGGGACGAAAGUCGGUCUUAGUGAUCUGACGGUGCUGAGUGGAAAGGCCGUCACUCAACGGAUAAAAGUUACUCUAGGAUAACAGGCUGAUCUCCCCCAAGAGUUCACAUCGACGGGGAGGUUUGGCACCUCGAUGUCGGCUCAUCGCAUCCUGGGGCGGUAGUACGUCCCAAGGGUUGGGCUGUUCGCCCAUGAAAGCGGUACGCGAGCUGGGUUCAGAACGUCGUGAGACAGUUCGGUCCAUAUCCGGUGUAGGCGUUAGAAUAUUGAGAGGAGCCUUCUUUAGUACGAGAGGACCGAGAAGGACAUACCUCUGGUGUACCAGUUAUCGUGCCAACGGUAAACGCUGGGUAGCUAUGUAUGGAGAGGAUAACCGCUGAAAGCAUCUAAGUGGGAAGCCCUCCUCAAGAUAAG